GCGCCGGCGUGAGACGCAUGGAGUUUGUGCGCCGCCGUUCGCCACAAUGUGAUUCGGUGGAAAAACUUUGGUAUGUUCUUUCAUUAUUUUAUAUUAUUUGCCGUUUCUAUUGCAUUGUUAAUGUGAUAUGAGCCUGAUAUGAUAUUAGAGAUAUUUCGGCGAUAGGUAGACCCAUGUCUAUCGGAUAGAGAGUGAAAAUGCGUUUCUGGCUGAUUUCAGAAACCUACCUACAUUCUACAUUCUACAUUCUACGUUGCUACACUGCUACUACUUCUAUCUACGGUCCGCAUUUCUCCGCUAUGCCGCUGUCUUAUUUGUCCGUUCCUACCACCAAUUGUUCACCUAAACAACUUCGCCUUACCAUAUUGUUUUCGCCCUUGGCACGCUGCCAGAUGACCCUUUUGCUAUGAAAGCCUGAAUAUAUUAUUUAUUUGUUUUUAUUUGUAGUGUCUCAAAGCCCUAACCGUUUCCCACAACAGUUUCAAAGUUUCCACAGCCUAGUGAUAUGGUUGUAGGUCUAUGCAAAAGUUUGUCAGAAUGCCCAAGGACUUUCCGAACAUGAUGAACAUGAUGGUAUGAGUGUAUCUCAUUUGAAGAUUCUGUCUUGAUCGCCCGAAGAGGCUUCUCAGGGUGUAGGUCGUGUAAAUGACAGUUUCUUGUGGCGAGAAGUUUUGUACUUGCUGCUGAGAAUUGCAAUUGUGACUCAGUUCCUGAUUGGUGUUGUGCUGUUAAAUCCAGAACAUGUCUGUAGCACAAUUGAAACAGAAGCGAGGCAGAUUGUUAGCUGCACUGACCAGGGUCAGGAGGAGGGCUUUCGUCUUGAUUGAUACCAGAGGUAGUCGGACUCAGCUAGCGUCAAUCGUCCAUGAGCUUGAUCAGGCACUCGAGCAGUUGGAGGAGAUGACUGAUAGUUUAGUUUCUGUGCUGACAUCUCAAGAGGAAGUUGAUCAGGCAAGAGUGUAUCAAGCAGAAGCAGACAGGCAGCAUGAAGAAGCCGUGACCCGGAUUGAAGUGCAUUUGAAGGAGAGGAAGGAUGAUCCACCAUCAGUUGCAUCAAAGCAGGCGUCAGACUCUGCAGCAUCAGACAAGACGUCAGCAUCCCGGCUGGCAGAGAUAGAGGCCAAGGUGAAGCAGCUAGAGCUGGAGCAGCUGCACCAAAGGCUUGAGACGGAGAAGGAAGAGCAACAGAUCCAGAGGAAGAUGAAGCUACAAGAAGCAAAGGAUGCUCAUGCAGCCGCCGAGCUGCGUGCACAGUUGGCAAGAGCAGCUGAAGAUGACCUAGCGUGGGACCGGAGAAAUUAUUUCUGUGGUGAGACCAAGGUCUGGGAAGCCCAAGGGGCACCUAGUGAAGAAGCUGGUUCGACUCAUCUCAGCCGAGCCAUCCCACCAGCUGCACGAGCUGUCCAAGGGGCAGCCACUGUUGAAGUAGCCGGUCUGUCUCGUCCCAGCCACACCAUCUCACCGGCCGUUGGAGCUGUCCAAGGGGUAGCCACUGUUGAAGUAGCCGGUCCGUCUCGUCCCAGCCACACCAUCUCACCGGCCGUUGGAGCUGUCCAAGGGGUAGCCACUGUUGAAGUAGCCGGUCCGUCUCGUCCAAGCCACACCAUCUCACCGGCCGUUGGAGCUGUCCAAGGGGUAGCCACUGUUGAAGAAGCUGGUUCGUCACGUCCCAGCCACACCAUCUCACCGGCCGUUGGAGCUGCCCAAGGGGCACUCGGCGCCGACACAGCUGAUUUGUUCUAUUACAGUCAUGUUCCCCCACCGGCUGUUGGAGCUGCCCGAGGGGCACCCACUACUGAACUAGCCGGUCAGUUUCGACCCACAGCCAGUGAUGCAGUCGCCCAAGGGGCGCCUUGUGUUCCAUCGCUGCUGCACAAUAGUCUUCCGCGCUUGACUCUGCCGAAGUUCGGCGGCGAGUCGGCCGAGUGGCCGAAGUGGUGGGCUUCUUUUAAAGUUUUAGUACAUGAACAGAUCUCACUCUCCCCAACAGAAAAACUGAUACACCUGCAAGCAUCAGUGGUGGGUACUGCUAAGCUCACCAUCAGUGGGAUGAUGUUUGAUGGGGCCCUAUAUGAAGAGGCGGUGCAUGCUCUGCAGGACAGGUUUGGCCGCCAGGAAGAUGUUGUACACGCGUACCUGCAAGAGAUCUUCUCCUGCCCUGCGCCCUCCCAACUAGAUCCUGUUGGACUAGAGCGCCUGCACGCAUCAGUCCACUGUGCUGUCAUGAUAUUCAGGAGUCUCGGCUACGAUGGGGAUCUGAAUAGUUUCGAGAACCUCAGACGAGUUGUUCAAAGGCUCCCAUCUGAGAUGAAACGUCUAUGGGGAGAAUAUGUCUUGAACCUGGGAGAGAGGCCGACACUGGUGCACUUUGACGAAUGGCUUCGCAGGCAGGUCAGGGUGGCCCUCAACUACGCUGCCGUGUCUCCACAGCAGAAUACGGCGACUGGCAAGAAGCCGGCAGGACAGCCUCAGCGGUGGAAGGGCGACGUGAAGCUGAGGCCCGUCCAAAGAAGUGCUCUGGCCACAGAGAUUGAUACAUCAGGGACGACUUGUGUAUGCUGCAAGGACCAGCAUGAGGUGACAACGUGUCCGAUUUUCUUGAAGAAAUCGGUUGAUGAAAGAGCCCACUUCAUCGCCAGUGCGAGGUGCUGUUUCUUCUGUCUGAAGGCUGGACAUGGCGUUCGGCACUGUCGCUCGGCAAGGCCGUGCGGCAUCGACAGCUGCAAGAUGAGACAUCAUCAGGUGCUCCAUGGCAGCAAGAGGGUCGACCUCAGGAACACUGGCCAGCGCGUGGUAGCAGCAGCAUCAGUGAAGGCGGGCGCGACCACAAUCCUGCUGCAGGUCGUACCAGUCACCGUCCUUGCCAGUGGUGGCAAGGAAAAGCAGGUUUGGGCUCUACUAGACCCUGGUUCUCAGACUUCACUGGUGUCCGAAGAGGUAAUGACACAGCUGAAUCUUCAAGGGGAGCCACAAACCCUCCGCCUGCAAAACGUGGAAGGAUGCGGGCGCCUCCAGAACUCCGUGAAGAUGAAACUGGAGCUCAAGGCGUCAGGUGGCGACGGAUCAAGAAUAGUGGUCCCUGAAGUUUUCUCCGUCAGGGACAUCAACGUUACGGUUCCAGAGCUCCCUGACAAGAGGAUCGAAUGGAAGCACCUGCUGGACCUCGACCUUCCAGACUGCUCAGGGAAGAGGGUCGAUCUUCUUCUCGGCGCCAACGUCCUUGAAGCGGUGCUUCAGCUGGAAGCGAGGACAGGGAAGGCGGGCCAACCGGUGGCCAUCAGAACCGCCUUCGGGUGGACGCUGACGGGCACGGUGAAGGGAUUCCUGCCAGAACGAACGCGCCAGGUGAUGCUGAUCAGGAAGAUGGCUCCAGACGAUCAACUGUCAGCAGCACUCCAGGAGUGGUGGAGCACGGAAUCGUUUGGGAGCAGGUUUGAAGGCCAGGAUGCCAAAUCUCCCCAAGACGUCAGAGCCGUGAAGAUCAUGGAAGACACAACCAGGAGACUGGACAAUCGCUACGAGACGGGACUCCUGUGGAUGAGUGAUGAUGUGUGCCUACCUGAUAACAAGAUGAUGGCGGCCAACCGGCUGUACUCCCUGGAGAAGACCCUGAUGCGACAAUCUGAGAAAGCGGAAGCUUAUAAGAAGGUUGUCGAGGGAUACGUCGAGCGCGGAUUCGCUCGCAAGCUAACCCCAGAAGAAGAUCAAGAAGCACACCCAAGGAAGUGGUACCUGCCACAUCAUGGUGUAACGAACCCCCGGAAGCCCGGGAAGCUCAGAGUAGUGUUUGAUGCGGCUGCCAAGUGUGGCAACACUUCUCUGAAUGAUGUGCUGCUCACGGGACCUGACCUUCUUAAGAACCUGCCCGGCAUCCUCCUGAGGUUCAGAGAGGAACCCGUCGCUCUGACCGCUGAUAUCGAGUGUAUGUACCACCAGGUCCAGAUAACUCCGCAAGAUCAACCAGCACUGAGGUUCCUCUGGAGAGAUUUGGAUGCAACGAAGCAACCAGAACCAUACACCAUGCAGGUCGCGAUCUUCGGGGCCAGAAGCAGUCCCGCAUCAGCAAACUUCGUCCUGCAGCAGACCGCUAAGGACUGCAGCAGUAGCACCCCGGCAGGGAGAGCAGCUAGAGAAGCGGCACUUACAAGCUUUUAUAUGGAUGACUUCAUCCACGCUACGAGAACCGAAGAAGAGGCAGCUGAGAUGCAAACCGAGGUGACAGAACUUCUCAGAAGAGGGGGGUUCAGGCUGACAAAGUGGAUGAGCAGCUCGCGGAAGGUCUUGGAACGGAUCGAAGCCGCAGAGCGCGUUCAAGACAUCGAUGUCGCGGUUCAGAGUGUGCUAGGCUGCGCCUGGAACACCAUCAACGACACCUUGGGAGUCAGAGCUGUUGACUCACGUGUACCGUCAACGAAGAGAGGAGUAGUGCAAGGAGUAGCUCGACUAUUCGACCCUCUGGGCCUAGUCGCUCCGUUCUCUCUCCAGGCUAAAGUUCUCAUUCAACGCCUCUGGGCGGGGAACUACGACUGGGACGAUGAGCUCGAGGGGACGGAGCUGCAGAGGUGGUCUCAGUGGCUCUCGGAGUUACACUAUCUGGAGCGGGUAACCGUCCCGCGAUGCUUCGGAGGCGGGUCGGCAAGUGACGGCUGUCGGAGAGAGCGUCACAUCUUCUGUGAUGCUUCUCAGGAUGCCUUCGGUGCUGCCGCGUACGUCGCUACGACGAUGCCUGAUGGUCGCCGCGUCUGCUCCUUGGCUAUGGCGAAGACCAGGGUGGCACCCCUCAAGCAGAUCUCAAUUGUAAGGCUGGAGUUGCAAGCAGCUGUGCUGGGCGUCAGAGUAGCAAACGUGCUACGGACGGAGCUGUCGGUCAGGGUGGAUAGGGUCCUAUUCUGGACCGACAGCACAGUUGUUCUGCAGUAUGUGAAAAAUGACAGCCGCCGCUUUCACACAUUUGUCGCUAAUAGGGUGGCAGAAAUUCGAGAGUCUUCUUGCCCUGACCAGUGGCGACACGUGCCGUCGAGUCUGAACGCAGCUGACGUUGUUUCCAGGGGAGCUACGUUGUCUGACCUGUCAUCAGAUUCUCGCUGGAGUGCGGGUCCUGGGUUCCUGCUCCAGGAGGAGAACUGCUGGCCGGAACAGCCAUCUCUCACGAGUACGGCUGUACUGAAAAACGACCCAGAAGUGAGGACGGAAUCGGUCAUGCUCACUGUGAAGCAUGACUCUGAUACUACGGUGCUUCCCGACGCUUCGAGAUUCUCUUCGUGGACGAAGUACAGAAGAACCGUGGCAUGGGUACUGAGGUUUGUGAAGAACUGUGCCCCAAAGUCCUGUCAGGAACGAGCAGACCGGAGACGCGCAGGACCUCUGUCAGCAGAGGAACUGAAGCUAGCAGAGACGAAGGUACUGAAAGACUGUCAAGCUAGAUGCUUCCCUGAAGAACUGGCAGAGAUCCAAGCUGGCAAAGAAGUGAAGACUGAAGGGAAACUGCGACAAGUGACACCUUUCCUGGAUGGUGAGGGUGUGAUGAGAGUCGGUGGGCGUAUCGACAAAGCGCCCGUGGCCUAUUCGACUCGCCACCCGGUGAUCCUGCCAUCGAGAGACGACGUUACUCGCCUGGUAGUGACGCACUGCCAUGUGAAGGUUCUUCACUCAGGACAAGAAAGAACGUUGACAGAAGUCAGGAAGACAUAUUGGAUUCUGAAGGCCCGCUCGACAGUCCGGAGGAUCCUACACGAGUGUACCGUGUGCAAAAGACGAAGAGCGAUUGCGCAGGUCCCAAGAAUGGCAGAGCUGCCGGCCAGCCGGUAUGACACGUCCAGAGCUUUCAGCACGGUAGGAGUCGACUACUUCGGGCCAAUGUUCGUGAAGAAGUACAGGAGGACCGAGAAGAGAUACGGCGUCUUGUUCACCUGCUUCUCGACCCGCGCAGUACACCUGGAGGUAGCAAACGCUUUAGAUACGGACAGUUUCGUCAUGGCACUGAGGAGAUUCAUGGCAAGGAGAGGGAAGCCAGACUCAAUGUACUCUGACAAUGGGACGAACCUCGUCGGAGGUGAACGUGAGCUCCGUGAGUCUCUACAUGAACUCGACCAAACUCGCAUUACUGACGAACUGAGUCAGGAAAACAUUAAGUGGACUUUCAUGCCUCCCAGCGCCAGCCACAUGGGCGGCGUAUGGGAAAGGCUGGUGGGCAGCGUAAAGCGCGCGCUCAGAGUAACUAUCGGAUCUCAGUGUGUGACCGAUGAAGUACUCCACACUGCUCUGCUCGAGGUGGAGUCAAUGAUCAAUGGACGGCCGCUGACACACGUCAGUCCUGACAGUACGGAUAUUGAGCCACUGACGCCAAAUCACCUUCUGCUCGGGUGUGCCAGCGCCAACAUGUCUCCUGGCAUAUUUCAAGACAGAGAGAUCAGCAGCAAACGACGUUGGCGUCAGUCACAAGUACUGGCAGAACAUUUUUGGAAGAGAUGGCGAAAUGAAUAUGUACCAACACUAGCCAGUCGGCAGAAGUGGUUGCGCGAGAGAAGAAAUCUCAAAGUUGAAGACGUCGUGCUGAUGAUUGAGGCAGACUCGCCACGCGGGUUCUGGCCCCUGGCCCGAGUUACAAGAGUGUUCCCGGGCUCGGACGGAGUAGUUCGUACCGUGGAACUGAUGGCAGCGGGGGGAGGCAAGUACCGGCGCCCGGUCAGCAAAGUGUGCCUCCUGGAGGAGGCUGAAUAAGCUCAGAACUGUUCUGUGUCAGAACUGUGUUGAAGGAUGGCUGUUAUGUUGGUGACGACAGUGCUGUCCUAUCACGUAUAUCCCAAGUAUCCUAUGUUUUCCUUUUGUUUCUUCCUAACAGAUCCCUCCUGAUGGCGGCUAGCUGCGGCGGAGGUGCUCGUCGGCUGAGGUGAGCUGGAGUCCUCCGAAGCUGCGUCCGGGGACGCUCAUCGGCGGCGGCGAGCUGGUGCUCUCCGAGGCUGCGGCGAGCUGGUGCGCUCGUCAGCUGCGGCGAGCUGGUGCUCUCCGAGGCGGCGGUGAGCUGGUGCUCUCCGAGGCUGCGGCGAGCUGGUGCGCUCGUCGGCUGCGGCGAGCUGGUGCUCUCCAAGGCCGCGGCGAGCUGGUGUUCUCCGGAGCUGUGGCAGAGACGCUCGUCGGCUGCGGCGAGCUGGUGCUCUCCGAGGCUGCGGCGACCUGGUGGUUCUCCGGAGCUAGUACUGCGGGAGCUCGCCUGCCGCACGGAGCUGGUGGCAGUGGGCGGCGGAGAUGACUGCUGCUCUCCGGAGCUGUGACUUCGGCAGCGAAGCCGAUACCGUGCGAGGCGUGGUGUCUUCAGGAUGAACGCUGUAUAUGUGUGCGCGCGGCUGUGGCUGCUGAGUGGGCAACGUACCGAAGAGGUUUUGUGUUCAGGCUUCCGUUAUCCCCGCUCAACGAGGUGUCAUUACGACACCGGGGGGAGGAUGUAGCGGACUGAGCCGGAGCGGGUUGGCCUGUGCGUUGCUCGACAGGUGGCGCUAGUUGUGGACACAGGGGGCGACGAUGUUCGUACUGACCAUUGGAUGGUGGCGCCACCCUAAGCCAGUGGUGGCGCAGAGAGUCCAGUGCGCCGCCCAUCGACGUGGCGUUUUUUGGCUGUGUGGCGCCGGCGUGAGACGCAUGGAGUUUGUGCGCCGCCGUUCGCCACAAUGUGAUUCGGUGGAAAAACUUUGUGCCCGAGACCAGGAUUCUGGGGGAGACAGAGAUCUACGUGGACCUCGGAAGCACUCUGAACCUGACCUGCACUGUCUCAUCGAGUCCCGUGCCGACUGAGUUCAUCUUCUGGUAUCGCAACGAAACGGUUGUCAACUACAGCGCGCCACCAGGCCGGGUUACCGUCAUCACUGAGGACUCUGCCGCCGCGACCACCAACUCGUACCUCAUGAUACGGAACGCACGUGUCGAGGACUCGGGCAUCUACACGUGCACCCCCUCCAACGCCAACGUGGCCAAGGUCAAGGUCCACGUGCUGAAAGGGGAGAAGCCUGCCGCGAUGCAGACCAACGGAGUCGCGACGAUAUCGGCCGCCCUGUCACUGGUCGUCAUGGCAACCGCUCGGUGGCUGAUCUAGGGCUCCAGAUACCGCGCGGCCCACUGGUGACGUCACACCUCCUGACGCGAUGACGUCACUAGUGGUGACGCGUUUGGGUCGGGCUUUACCUGUCCAACCGGCGGGGGCAGGUCGUGGCUUGGAAAAUAAAGCCAAUGAAGCGGUGCUAAGGCUCAGACCUGUGCUGAUGGAAGCUGCUGCUAGGCUGGCGACGGGUGACGAUUCGCAGCCGAGGUAUGCUGAAACGUAACCCCGAACUGCGCUGUGACCUGUGACGUCAGAGGUCACUGACCGAGUGUUCUCCGUCAGCUGUCAGCCGCUAGCGGACAGAUCAGGCAGUGAAUCACAUGGUGGCUACAAAUUAGGUGGACCACUGACAACAGGAAGCCGUGAUGACGUCAUCAGAAGAGACGUUCCCGACUGGUGCGUAAAACAAAGGCCGGGUCGAGAGUGCUCAGCUGAGGGCCGUGGUUACAGUCUACAGAUGUGGUGAAAUCAGAGGGGUUCUAUCGAAUAGGCUGGGACAGAGCCGGGCCUGGGUCUACGGUAAGAGAGACAGGACGAAUGCUAUCGUCUAAUUUAUGUAGCGUCGAGGUUCGUAAUGUUGACUGUACCUUUUGUUUUCAAAUGACGCAAAGAUGGCUCCGAAGGCUACUAAGAUAUGAAUUACUGAAUAUCGAUGACAAAUGUUAGGCUUUUUUUUAAUCUGUAGGGUUCAUUGCGUUGUAUUUUUUUCCGGAAUGGUUGAGACGAGGUGUUAGUAUAAGAGAAGCUGGGUGUUAAGCUCUCGUUCCCGUCUUGAAUUAGUUGUUAUCUUCACUGCUGUUCACUGCUGUGAACUGCUGUGCUGGUUUUGUUCGGUUGAGGAAAUCGUAUAUUGUGAGCAAAUGUGAAAGAGUGUGUUCGUGGAUUCUAUACGUACGAAGCUCGUUGUGUCACGCGGCAUUGUGAGUGUUCUUUGUGACUGCCUGUUCCCCAAGAGCUUCUUUGUUAACAAAAUGUGAGCUGUUUUGUCUCUCAGUGAUGUACAACGGUCAUUUACUUUCCGACAUUUAUUAUUCCGCGCGGAGUCCACCGUAGACUCUAGUGGGGGUCAGCGGGCGUGCUUCGAAUGUUCUCCGACCUUAAUUUCCACCACCCAUUUGAAUCUGACCUCAGAGGGAUUUAUCAUUGCCCCCAUCGCAGCUAGUUUUUCUACCUGACUGAUUCGUCGAUAUAUUGCGACUGCGUUUAUCGGAGCAGUGAAGUGACCAUCCUGGACAGACCCAUUGCCCGUCCCAGACACUCGCAUUAUGGGGUCGGUCGGGCUCUCAGAUACCGCCUGCGGCUAGCAGACGGACUCUACUCUGAUUGGCCGGGUUCAGCACCGCCCGCCGGCGUUCGACUGGGCCGGCCGCCGAGCGAAUUCGAAUGUGGCAGAGGAGAGCUCAUGGCAUCUCUGCCGGGAUCUCAUCCGAUUUAUCGGCGCCAGAUAUUGAAGUUUCCCAGUAGAUUUAUGGGGCCGCUGCGUAGUGAGCCGUCGCGAAAAACGUGAGCAUGAUGUCGUCAGUAAAUCGUCGGCAUCCGCUGUUGACGCGAGCGCGGCGGCCCGGUCCGGAAGGGGUCCAUUACUGCGGGCGCGACCGGGGAACGGUGUACAGUUUGUUUGGAGAUGUCGUCAUGACCGAGAAAUGCGAGAGCCGCGGCCAGCCUGUCGCCUGGCAUUGCUUGGAAGGACGAUUUGUCUUUCGGAUACUGCGAAUGUCAGUGAUGUUGUUGCGGGUGAAUGUUGACACGGCCAUUCGAGCUGAAAUAAAGUCCCGUUGUGUUCGUGUAUUUACAAAACAA